UUAUAGUGCAAAUUGCAUGCCAGAGUUUAGUAUUUAGAUAUUUAGGGGUUUGUUAAAAUCCCCAACAGUAAGUAUGAGCAAUAGUAAUAUUUCUUUAGCAAACACCACUAACAAGCUUUUGGCUAUUGAAACCAAGGAAACAAGGAGCAGUUCACCUUUGACCUGGACUUCCCAUGUGAGGUUCCCGUACAUUCGCAGCAGGGCCAAAUGUGCCGGCACUCCCUCCGAGGUCUGAGAUUUCAAGCCCAACCCUGAUGUUGAAUAUUCCCGAGCAGGAAAACCGAGAGGAAAUUACAGCAGGAAGGUCUCCAGACCAUCUCAAACCAUCUCAACCAACCAAAAGCAUUGUUUGAGGACCUCCACCAAUAAGCAGCCAGGGUUCAUCAUCUCGACCAAUCACCAACGUUUCUAUACACACCUCAGAUCAAGGAGAAAUCACAUGAGUGUGCUGCUUCUGUUACAUAAGCCACACCUUGACGUCUGGAUCUGUGGAUCCAGGGACAGUAUGAUCAACCAAAGAGUGCUGUGAGCAAUAAUGAUGUGUAUGCGCGUGGGCGUCUCACCUCAUCGCCGUCUCUGUUCAGAGCCUCAGUGCAUCUCCAUAUCUCAGUGUGAGAAUUCACAUGCUAAGAGCUGUCACUGCAUCCCAGUACCACUGCACCUCUCCAAGUCCUCGCUCAUCACUAUGGCAACCAGAAAAAUGGUUCACCAGGAAACUUUGCCUGAUUUUAAAGGGCCAAAGCACAAAUCUGGAGCGAGCAUCCUUCUGACGGGUGUGCAAAAGACUCAAGGCGUGCUUGUGCACCAAGCGCCACACAGAUGUUUAAAGAGAGGGGGAAUUGAGAAGGGGAGAACAGCAGAGAGAGUGUGUAAAUUAAGGAGAAGAAACACAGAAUGUGAUGGCUUAAUGUGUGGGCGUUAGGGCUGAAUAGAUUGGCCUCAGUCACGACAGAAAUUAGGACGUAAGAGAGCGACAGGUAAAGAAGGUAAGGGGCGAUGUUUGCCCGUUCUGCAAAAUUCAACUCUACGCAAAUCAGAGAUUUGGCUUUGCCUGAGGAAGACCUAUAUAGAGUGAAUGCAACGCUCAUUCACACAUCCGCUUGCAAACACACACACAAACACACACACAUUUUGCCUGUUAGAAAAAGUGUUCUGUAAUCCCUGUAGUGAUGCCCAAUGAAAAUAUCCGCAUCCGCAGAAGUGCGCUGACUAAACAUGACACACAGAGAGCCUGAAAAGACACAAAUUACUCUCAUCUUCCAACAAACAGUCAUUUAAACAUCCUAAGACGCACACAAUUCACCCAAGGAUGUGUUGGUAAUCAUAAAACUUACCUAAUA